UUUUUGUUUUCUUGAAUUAAAAACACUUUCAAACUUUAGCACAUCCUACUUUUUCAUCACCCAAGAAAUAUAUUUCACACUCCUUUAUUCCAUACACACCUUUAAAAGUUCUCACCUCUUUCAGACGCCAUAAAUCGUCUCCCACACGCACUGCCUUUCUCUCACUCAGAGAACUCACGCAGAGUCACUCAAAUCAAAUACUGACAGCACUCACACAGUUAAAAUCACUCGAAAUACGCUUUCAUACGAGUAUUUUGGACAUGCCUUCCAUGAUCAGAAAGAGCAAGUCAAAAGAAAAAGAAAAAGAAAACUGAAACCUCUCAUCAUCCUCGCAGCUUCUCCCCACACACACAUAACUGAAAAUAAAACACACCAACAUUUAUGGCUCACGAAAUGUACAUCUAUCAAAAUUCAGUCAUUUACUAUACAUCCACACUAAUAUAUUCACACUGUAUUUACAUUCUCAUAAUAAGCUCUUAUAUACAGGCAUUUAGCAAAAAGCUCUCAGUCCUCUCGAAAACUGAAACCACCCUCUCUGCGCGUCACUGCUGCUCAUUUGCAUUUACACACACAAUCAGUGCACAUCCGGCUGUGCAUGACUAACACAGAGACUGAUCCUACUCAUAGAUCUCAUAUUUUAUAUUACAGACGUCUUAAAUUACAACUGCACAGAUUUUUUUUUUAGGCCUUUUCAACUCCUAUGUAAUUUCGAUAAUAGAACAUAACGGCUCCAACCGAUCAGUCCCAGACUUUUUGUGCUCAAUUCACCAGGGCGGUCCCAGACUGUCCUGUCCAGAUCUCUAAACCUAACUUAAUUUGCCAGCAUACCCAAUAAGCGCAAAAAUAGGAGACUCUAACUCCUAGCAAUUUCAGAGGUUCCCAAGUUCUCUCCCGCUGUCGACGGUACUAUCCCUACUCUUCAGGGUAGGCCAAGGGUCAGCGUCCUGCCCAGGUGCAAGCGUUACCAAGGAGAAAAUGCGCUUCUUAACAGACGCCGCUGUCGUCCUAGAAAAAUUUAGAAUAAUUUGAAACAACAAUCUACAUCCGGAACAGGAUUAAGAUUGAGGCAGAUCUCCCGUUGUGGACAUAAAGGGACUUGAACCCACGAACUGACCAUCACACGUAGAUCAAAUGACCAACGGGGCUUCACCCCACACAAUGACCAAAUUCCCUAUCCUUCUAAAAGUUCACUUCGCAGUCCAACUGCUUUAAUUCUCUUUUCAUUCCUUUAUUCUCAUUAACUCAGUACUGUCACUUAUAAACUUCCAUUUCAUUAUCAUUACUUCAACCGGUAAACUUCAUGAAAACUUCACCAAAAUUAAAAAACAGACAUUCACCAGUAAUUUUCAGUGAGUAGACUUUAAUUUGACAUGCCCAAUGUGACACCUUUUGGAAAUAUAUUUCAACAGGCAGUGUCUUACCUUUAAAUGCCCCGGGGAAUGCCUG
ensembl:lncRNA